rnacentral:rRNA from 1 species
GACGAACGCUGGCGGCGUGCUUAACACAUGCAAGUCGAACGGAAAGGCCCCUUUGGGGGUACUCGAGUGGCGAACGGGUGAGUAACACGUGAGUAACCUGCCCUUGACUUCGGGAUAACUUCAGGAAACUGGGGCUAAUACCGGAUAGGAAUCCUUGCUGCAUGGUGGGGGUUGGAAAGCUUCGGCGGUUUUGGAUGGACUCGCGGCUUAUCAGCUUGUUGGUGGGGUAGUGGCUUACCAAGGCUUUGACGGGUAGCCGGCCUGGGAGGGCGACCGGCCACAUUGGGACUGAGAUACGGCCCAGACUCCUACGGGAGGCAGCAGUGGGGAAUAUUGCACAAUGGGCGGAAGCCUGAUGCAGCAACGCCGCGUGCGGGAUGACGGCCUUCGGGUUGUAAACCGCUUUCAGCAGGGGCGAAGCUUUUGUGACGGUACCUGCAGAAGAAGCACCGGCUAACUACGUG